GAGUGUGAACAAGUUUAUAUUGAACAACCCGCUGCGCCAAGGCCGCAGAACAAAUCGCGCAAGAAAACAAGCUCAUCAACCGGAGGGGGUGGGGAUCCAAAUCUGUCACAACAGCCUAAUGGCUCGCAUGUUGCUGGUGCUGAGAUUGGGGACCCACCAAUAACAAAGAAGCAAGGGCGUCCAAGGUCAAAGAGAUACAAGACAGGGUUGGGGUUGCUUCCCCCAAAAAAACCACCGUGUGGAUAUUGUGGUUCAACAGAACAUACCACAUCGACUUGCCCCGCCAAGCCGGCAAGAAAGCAAACAAAAGAACUCUCGGAUAAAUCACUAAAUGAGGUUGCUGCUGCGUGAAAAAACAAGAUGUGUUGCAGAGGGAUGCAUCUAACAUUUUUUCCACUUCCUUGUAAUUUAUUAAACUGCAAUUAGUGAUUUAUGAUUUUAUUAAAGCAUUGUGUGUGGUGAUGUAAUAAUGAAUAGUUGAUGCUUUUGUAUAUUUCAGACUUGCUAUAUAUAUGGAUAAAUAUACUUUUAAUAAAA